CAUUACCAAUUUUGCUGGGUAUCUCAUUUGUUAUUAUCGCUUAUUUGGUUUAUCAAAAUCGUCAACUCAAAGCAUCGAACACCCAAGCAAAGCAGGAGAAGGAAAAUGCAAACAAUAAUGCGAGAGAUAUCCAUGACAAUCCUGACAGAAAUGAUGCCAGCAGUUAUGAACAUGUAGACAAUGAACAGUCGUAUACAGGUCUUAAAAGGCUUGGAGAAGACAAAAAUUACGACAAUUUAUAUGGUCAUUUAAAUGAAGUACCGCGUGACUACGCAAAUCAAGAGGAAACUGGGAUUUAAUUA